CCCAGAUCGAACUGGAGCCGUUGAUCGACCAGGGCACGGACACGAAUGUCCGUGGGAUAGAGUUCAUCGCUUUUCCCGUAGGCUGCAACCAGGACCAGGCCCUCAUCGUUCAUGGUUGGUAUACAGUGUUGGGGAUUCAAUGCCACAAAGUCCGGCUUCAGCUGCUCCCCCUCCAGUAUGUUGACGAUCUUCAGCUCAAAGUCCAGGCCAAGCAUUUUGGCCAACAAGAGAAUGCUGCGGCAGGGCGGACUGGGUGGCAGGUAGUACAGCACGGGUGGUGACAUUUUUCCACCGCUGAGCAGUAAACAAUAAACGAAUUCGGUUACAAUACGCUUCGUGUCGCUCAUUGGUCAUUGGCCAAAACUGAAAUGCCAACACGCUACCCAUUGACCACUUGACCAGGCCCGACACUGGGGCUGGACAACGGUAAAAAAUCAAUGCAUCGAUUUUGUACAUGUAUUUUUUAUUAAAGUUAACUGAGGGAUGUCUUGAGGCAUGCCAAA